UACGAAGGGGGCUAGCGUUGCUCGGAAUUACUGGGCGUAAAGCGCACGUAGGCGGCUUUGUAAGUUAGAGGUGAAAGCCUGGGGCUCAACUCCAGAACUGCCUUUAAGACUGCAUCGCUUGAACACGGGAGAGGUGAGUGGAAUUCCGAGUGUAGAGGUGAAAUUCGUAGAUAUUCGGAAGAACACCAGUGGCGAAGGCGGCUCACUGGACCGUUGUUGACGCUGAGGUGCGAAAGCGUGGGGAGCAAACAGG
rnacentral:rRNA from 1 species